UGCCAGACUCCUACGGGAGGCAGCAGUGGGGAAUAUUGCACAAUGGGGGGAACCCUGAUGCAGCGACGCCGCGUGGGUGAAGGAGCACCUCGGUGCGUAAAGCCCUAUCGGCAGGGAAGAAACAGACGGUACCUGACUAGGAGGCCCCGGCUAACUACGUGCCAGCAGCCGCGGGAAUACGUAGGGGGCAAGCGUUAUCCGGAUUCACUGGGUGUAAAGGGAGCGUAGACGGCGACGCAAGUCUGGAGUGAAAGCCCGGGGCCCAACCCCGGGACUGCUCUGGAAACUGCGGCGCUGGAGUACGGGAGGGGCAGGCGGAAUUCCUGGUGUAGCGGUGAAAUGCGUAGAUAUCAGGAGGAACGCCGGCGGCGAAGGCGGCCUGCUGGACCGUGACUGACGUUGAGGCUCGAGAGCGUGGGGAGCAAACAGGAUUAGAUACCCUCGUAAA
rnacentral:rRNA from 1 species